UACGUAGGGGCCGAGCGUUGUCCGGAUUUACUGGGCGUAAAGCGCGCGCAGGCGGCGCGGUAAGCCUGGCGUGAAAGCCCCCGGCUCAACCGGGGAGGGUCGCCGUGGACUGCCGGGCUUGAGGGCGGCAGGGGUCGGUGGAAUGCCCGGUGUAGUGGUGAAAUGCGUAGAGAUCGGGCGGAACACCCGUGGCGAAGGCGGCCGACUGGGCCGGACCUGACGCUGAGGCGCGAAGGCGUGGGGAGCGAACGGG
rnacentral:rRNA from 1 species